GUCUUUUUGGUUAUUUAAUAUAAAGUCUGACCUGCCCACUGAAUUUAUUUUGAAGGGCCGCAGUAUUUUGACUGUGCAAAGGUAGCAUAAUCAUUAGUCUUUUAAUUGAAGGCUGGUAUGAAUGGUUGGAUGAGGUACAAGCUGUGUCAUAAAAAUUAACGUUUGAAUUUACCUUUUUAGUCAAAAGGCUAAAAUGAAAUUAAAAGACGAGAAGACCCUAUAGAGCUUUAUAUAAUUUAUAUUUAAAUUAUUUAGAUUUUUUAAAUUUAAUUAUUUUAUUAUAUUUUGUUGGGGUGACAAUAAAAUUUAUAAAACUUUUAUUUUUAGUUAACAUUUAUAUAUGGUUAUAUGAUCCAGUUUUAUUGAUUAUAAAUUUAAGUUACCUUAGGGAUAACAGCGUAAUUUUUUUUGAGAGUUCUUAUCGACAAAAAAGAUUGCGACCUCGAUGUUGGAUUAAGAGUAAUUUUGGGUGUAGAAGUUCAAAGUUUAAGUCUGUUCGACUUUUAAAUUCUUACAU
rnacentral:rRNA from 1 species